rnacentral:rRNA from 1 species
CUUCGGUACAUCGGUGACAGUGGUGCAUGGUUGUCGUCAGCUCGUGUCGUGAGAUGUUGGGUUAAGUCCCGCAACGAGCGCAACCCCUAUUGUUAGUUGCCAUCAUUCAGUUGGGCACUCUAGCGAGACUGCCGGUAAUAAACCGGAGGAAGGUGGGGAUGACGUCAAAUCAUCAUGCCCCUUAUGACCUGGGCUACACACGUGCUACAAUGGUUGGUACAACGAGUUGCGAGUCGGUGACGGCGAGCUAAUCUCUUAAAGCCAAUCUCAGUUCGGAUUGUAGGCUGCAACUCGCCUACAUGAAGUCGGAAUCGCUAGUAAUCGCGGAUCAGCACGCCGCGGUGAAUACGUUCCCGGGCCUU